UCUUCUCACCAAUCUGGUGCCGCCCAGUGAUCCGCACAGGGCCAGAGCCCGACUUCAGGCGGAAGGUUACAGGUGGUUGGAGCUGGAAGUCAUCCAGACUGAGCUGGGACUCACCAUGGGUUGGCAGGACAGCUUGAGGUUGGCCACAGGGACUGCGAUCUCCUGAUGGUCAUGGUUCCGGGCCACAACUUCUACCACAUUACACUCGUCUUUGGCUCCCUCGGUGAGGCAGAGCUGG
rnacentral:lncRNA from 1 species